rnacentral:lncRNA from 14 species
CUAUCUCCAAGAAACUGCAUCACAGGAAACUCGCGUUAAAGUCCAAGUCAAAAUGUGAGAAAAGUCAGUGCCACGGCAGAGAUGAUUUAAGAAGGGAAGAGUUGAUUUGGCUCACAGUUAAAGGAUGCAGCCAUUACUUGGUGGGGA